CCCUCCCCUCUUAAUUCCAGCGCUUUCCUUCCGGUUAAUCAUCCCCAAUUUCUCCGGGACUUCGCAGGUCCGGACGCAGCGGCUCUAGACUGUAAGCUCCCCGAGGGCAGGCCUGCCUGCUGCCAAACUUGUGAGUGUGGACUCCUGGAUCAUCUGAAGAAAGCCCCUGCUCCUGAGUGCACAGCAGAACCCUCCAGGGACCUCAAGUAUCAAGAGACUCUACCUCAUAUAGCCAACUCCAAUGCUUUCAGUGAAAGCAAGAUUCAAUCAUCUUUGAGUAGCCUUCCAAGAGAAGCAGCGGAAGGUCAUGGAUGCAGAGCUGUCUUCGAAGCAAGGGGACCUGAGCUCAAGUCUCGUCUCUGUCAAAUCCUGGCUUGUGACCCUGGACAAGUCAUUUACCUUCCCAGCGCUCGAGGAAACUCCCAAAGACUAUACAUUGCAAAGAGUAUUGCCCACCCACCUUUGUGAAGAGAUUUCCUCACCGAGGAGUUCUCAGGUCCAGUCCCUAUCCCUAUAAAUCAGUACUUUGGGACUACCUCCUCUUUUUAGAUGUAACCUGUAAUCAUCGAGGGAGCUGUUAUACUUGGAAUUCUCGGAGAACCUGGGCUGUUUUACCUCUGGGGGCUCAGAAUCAACAGCUGAGCAAGUGGGGGGCAGCCAGCAGAGCUGAUUGGCAUGUGUACCCUUUCAUCUUUUCUGUAUAUGCCAUCCCUGGUUUGUAUAUAAUCAAUGAAUCAAGAGUAUCCCAUUUAAGAAUAAAGCGGUAUU